CUCGACUCAUCUCCGCGUUGUUGUAUUCGCACAUUCAAUGUCGCCGCAGAUUCUUUUCUUCAAGCCACUGGGUAUGAAAGAGAAUCGGAUGUUUGGCGUCCUGAUAGCGAGCAGGACAAGGUUCUUUUGUCCUUUUACAGUCUGACAAUUCCGUGAUAUAUGUUUACACCACAGUCGCCCUACAAUUACUUAGGCUUGUUGCCGUACCGCAAACUGUCAAAGCAAAAUAAUCUUUUUAGUCUUUUUGUGUCUGCUAAUCGACCUUCUAUACCUACACACCGGAAUUUAGCCACCUGGACUUUGCCAAAUGUCAUUUAUUGACGUAAGCAAAAACCCAAAAUGUAAUCCUUCAAAAUUUGAUAUCUGAAAUUGUUUAAAAUGGUUAAUAGUCCCGAAGGACUUUUGUUGCCAAAAAGUCCUGAUGCUAUGAGGCUCCGGAAACAAAUCUUCAAAACCUUCACCAUAUUCUCAUUAAUAAACAUUGCAAUGUACGCGGUCCUUGUCUACCGAGUGCUCAGCUUGAGACAUACUUCGCUGCAAACGAACUCCUACAGAGGUGAGUGAGAUAAACGCAAAAAGUUGUGGUAUCGUGAAACGAUUGCACCGCGUUGUCAUGCACAAGAAAUUUAUUACGUAAUAGUGGCGAUUCAUGUAACGUGAUUCGGUUCAUAUUAUACACGCUAGAGAGCGCCGAUGUGUAUUUAUUUAUGGUCUCGCCCGGUAUGAUAUAUUUCUUGCAAUUCCAUCGAGCUGUACAGGGUGGGAAUCCGAUAAAUCAAUUAGGUGUAAAGAGGUAUUAUUUAUUAUUUCAAAUAGAUGUUAAUAAAUUAGUUAUAAUAUAAAUAA